AACCCUUGACAUGGGUAUCGCGGGACCGGAGACGGUCCUUUCAGUUCGGCUGGAUACCACACAGGUGCUGCAUGGCUGUCGUCAGCUCGUGUCGUGAGAUGUUCGGUUAAGUCCGGCAACGAGCGCAACCCACACUCUUAGUUGCCAGCAUUCAGUUGGGCACUCUAGGAGAACUGCCGGUGAUAAGCCGGAGGAAGGUGUGGAUGACGUCAAGUCCUCAUGGCCCUUACGGGUUGGGCUACACACGUGCUACAAUGGUGGUGACAAUGGGCCAAUCCCAAAAAGCCAUCUCAGUUCGGAUUGGGGUCUGCAACUCGACCCCAUGAAGUCGGAAUCGCUAGUAAUCGCGUAACAGCAUGACGCGG
rnacentral:rRNA from 1 species